AAGCCCAUCGUUUAAUCUCCCUGGACURUGGACAGGGCGAAAUGUAACGGUAUGGAUAGGUCUUCUACUAGUAUUCUCUGAUCAAAGUCCUCCGGAUUGAGGCGCCAAAGAGGGUGACAGCCCCGUAUGUGGUUGGAGAAUGCUGGGUAUGUGGCCAAUUCUGAGAGUCGGGUUGUUUGGGAUUGCAACCUAAAGYMGGUGGUAAACUCCACCUAAGGCUAAAUAUAGACACGAAACCGAUAGCGAACAAGUACUGUGAGGGAAAGUUGAAAAGAACUCUGAAAAGAGAGUUAAAAGUACGUGAAACCGCUAACGGGGAAGCGGAAGGCAGUGUCGUGAUCUUGUGAGUGAGGCAGCUUAAAGUAAYUAGUUAUUUUUCGCGAGAUGCUAGGUUACUUUGAGCUGUGAGCUUACUUGAUGCGUCAGGUCUACUGGCCCAAUCAAGUUCAAUGGCUUAUGUGGCUGUACAAAUACCCUUCCUCGGGAGGGUUUGUGCUAGCGGUAGGUCAUCCACUUGAUAGGCUAGUAGAGUUGUAAUGAGGCGUUGGUGAUUAUUAUCGGUUUGUUUAGUUGAAUGCUGUUUAUUGGUCACAUUGUGGCUGCAUAGGCAGAAAUUUUACUAGGUUAACAUCCAAUGCCAGUACCUGACGAGAUACCUAACUUUCCGACCCGUCUUGAAACACGGACCAAGGAGGCAGAAUCUGGAGCGAGUUGGAGGGUGGUAAACCCGACGGCGUAGUGAAAGCAAGAGAUGAGAUCCGUUGACCUCGGUUGGCGGAGCAUCAUCGGCCAGUCUUAUAGAUUGAGUUUGAGCUCCAGGUGCUGGACCCGAAAGAUGGUGAACUAUACGUGAGCAGGGUGAAGCCAGAGGAAACUCUGGUGGAAGCUCGAAGCGAUUCUGACGUGCAAAUCGAUCGUUUGACUUGUGUAUAGGGGCGAUAGACUAAUCGAACCAUCUAGUAGCUGGUUCCCUUCGAAAUAUCCCUCAGGAUCGCUGAGACAAGUGAUAGACAGUUUCAUCGGGUAGAGCGAAUGAUUAGAGGACUCGGGGACAUAUUACUCUCGACCUAUUCUCAAACUACCAACCGGUGAGAGCAUUGUUU
rnacentral:rRNA from 1 species